rnacentral:tRNA from 1 species
CCCUGGUGGUUCAGAUGGUAAAGAAUCUGCCUGCAAUGCAGGAGGCCCAGGUUCAAUUCCUGGGUCAGGAA